GACGAACGCUGGCGGCGUGCUUAACACAUGCAAGUCGAACGGAAAGGCCCCUUUGGGGGUACUCGAGUGGCGAACGGGUGAGUAACGCGUGAGUAACCUGCCCUUGACUUCGGGAUAACUUCAGGAAACUGGGGCUAAUACCGGAUAGGAAUCCUUGCUGCAUGGUGGGGGUUGGAAAGCUUCGGCGGUUUUGGAUGGACUCGCGGCUUAUCAGCUUGUUGGUGGGGUAGUGGCUUACCAAGGCUUUGACGGGUAGCCGGCCUGAGAGGGCGACCGGCCACAUUGGGACUGAGAUACGGCCCAGACUCCUACGGGAGGCAGCAGUGGGGAAUAUUGCACAAUGGGCGGAAGCCUGAUGCAGCAACGCCGCGUGCGGGAUGACGGCCUUCGGGUUGGAAACCGCUUUCAGCAGGGGCGAAGCUUGUGGUGACGGUACCUGCAGAAGAAGCACCGGCUAACUACGUG
rnacentral:rRNA from 1 species